CAGGGAUUGCCUUAAUAGCGGCGAGUGAAGCGGCAAUAGCUCAAAUUUGAAAUCUGCCAACAGGCCGAGUUGUAAUUUGAAGAAAGCAAUUCUGGAUGUGUCUUUGCUCAAGUUCCUUGGAAUAGGACAUCAUGGAGGGUGAGAAUCCCGUGAUGCGAAGGUAGCACGUCUAUGUAGAAUGUUUUCGACGAGUCGAGUUGUUUGGGAAUGCAGCUCAAAGUGGGUGGUAAAUUCCAUCUAAAGCUAAAUAUUGGCGAGAGACCGAUAGCGAACAAGUACUGUGAAGGAAAGAUGAAAAGAACUUUGAAAAGAGAGUGAAAAAGUACGUGAAAUUGUUGAAAUGGAAGGGCUUGAGAUUAGACAUGGUGUUUAGUGUUCCACUUUCUUUUGGGAAUGUGUACUCGCUUUACACCGGGCCAGCAUCAGUUUUGAUGGGAGGAUAAAUGGUAUUGAAUGUGGCUGCUUGCAGUGUUAUAGCUUUAUCAAAUACUUCCAAUCGGGACUGAGGACCGCGCAUUUGCUAGGAUGCUGGCGUAAUGAUCUUAAGCCACCCGUCUUGAAACACGGACCG
rnacentral:rRNA from 1 species